rnacentral:misc_RNA from 1 species
UCCGGUUUGUCACCGGCGGUCCCCUUAGAGUGCUCAACUGAAUGGGGGCAACUAAGGGCAAGGGUUGCGCUCGUUGCGGGACUUAACCCAACAUCUCACGACACGAGCUGACGACAGCCAUGCAGCACCUGUGUUCCCGUUCCCUUUCGGGCACAGCCCCAUUUCUGGAGCCUCCAGGACAUGUCAAGGGUAGGUAAGGUUUUUCGCGUUGCAUCGAAUUAAUCCUCAUAAUCCACCGCUUGUGCGGGUCCCCGUCAAUUCCUUUGAGUUUUAAUCUUGCGACCGUACUCCCCAGGCGGUCUACUUCACGCGUUAGCUGCGUUACCAAGUCAAUUAAGACCCGACAACUAGUAGACAUCGUUUAGGGCGUGGACUAC